GACGAACGCUGGCGGCGUGCUUAACACAUGCAAGUCGAACGGAGAAUUUUAUUUCGGUGAAAUUCUUAGUGGCGAACGGGUGAGUAGCGCGUAGACAACCUACCUCUCAGAUGGGGACAACAUCGCGAAAGCGGUGCUAAUACCGAAUGAUGUAACUUUUCUGCAUGGAAGAGUUACCAAAGGCGGCCUCUAUUUAUAAGCUGUCAUUGAGAGAUGGGUCUGCGUCUGAUUAGCUAGUUGGCGGGGUAAUGGCUCGCCAAGGCGACGAACAGUGGCCGGUCUGAGAGGAUGAACGGCCACAUUGGGACUGAGACACGGCCAAAACUCCUACGGGAAGCAGCAGUGGGGAAUCUUCCGCAAUGGACGAAAGUCUGACGGAGCAACGCCGCGUGAGUGAAGAAGGUUUUCGGAUCGUAAAGCUCUGUUGUUUGAGACGAACGUGCAAUUUUUGAAUAAGGAAUUGUAAUGACGGUAUUAAACGAGAAAGCCACGGCUAACUACGUGCCAGCCGCCGCCGUAA
rnacentral:rRNA from 1 species